UACGUAGGGCGCGAGCGUUGUCCGGAAUUAUUGGGCGUAAAGAGCUCGUAGGCGGCUUGUCACGUCGGGUGUGAAAGACCGGGGCUUAACUCCGGUUCUGCAUUCGAUACGGGCUAGCUAGAGUGUGGUAGGGGAGAUCGGAAUUCCUGGUGUAGCGGUGAAAUGCGCAGAUAUCAGGAAGAACACCCGUGGCGAAGGCGGCUCUCUGGGACGGUACUGACGCUGAGACGCGAAAGCGUGGGGAGCGAACAGG
rnacentral:rRNA from 1 species